UACGUAGGGUGCGAGCGUUAAUCGGUAUUAUUGGGCGUAAAGCGUGCGCAGGCGGUUUUAUAAGACAGAUGUGAAAUCCCCGGGCUUAGCCUGGGAACUGCGUUUGUGACUGUAAGACUGGAGUGUGGCAGAGGGGGGUGGAAUUCCACGUGUAGCAGUGAAAUGCGUAGAUAUGUGGAGGAACAUCGAUGGCGAAGGCAGCCCCCUGGGUUAACACUGACGCUCAUGCACGAAAGCGUGGGGAGCAAACAGG
rnacentral:rRNA from 1 species